CGGUGAAUACGUUCCCGGGCCUUGUACACACCGCCCGUCAAGCCAUGGGAGUUGGGGUACCUAAAGUCCAUCACCGUAAGGAGUGGCCUAGGGUAAAACCGAUGACUGGGGCU
rnacentral:rRNA from 1 species